rnacentral:rRNA from 1 species
UGCAGAGGUCCCAAGCGUUGUUCGGAUUCAUUGGGCGUAAAGGGUGCGUAGGCGGCGCGGUAAGUCGGGUGUGAAAUCUCGGAGCUUAACUCCGAAACUGCAUUCGAUACUGCCGUGCUUGAGGACUGGAGAGGAGACUGGAAUUUACGGUGUAGCGGUGAAAUGCGUAGAUAUCGUAAGGAAGACCAGUGGCGAAGGCGGGUCUCUGGACAGUUCCUGACGCUGAGGCACGAAGGUCAGGGGAGCAAACGGG